rnacentral:rRNA from 1 species
UACGGAAGGUGCAAGCGUUAUCCGGAUUCACUGGGUUUAAAGGGUGCGUAGGCGGGCAGGUAAGUCAGUGGUGAAAUCUCCGAGCUUAACUCGGAAACUGCCAUUGAUACUAUUUGUCUUGAAUAUUGUGGAGGUAAGCGGAAUAUGUCAUGUAGCGGUGAAAUGCUUAGAUAUGACAUAGAACACCAAUUGCGAAGGCAGCUCACUACACGAAUAUUGACUCUGAGGCACGAAAGCGUGGGGAUCAAACAGG